GAGAAACUGAACCGAAAACUCAACGUGCUGCAGCAAGUGAACAAAGAUAAAAAGUAGCUUCAGGCCCUGUAAAUACAAGCAGCGGCCCCUGCAUUGAUGAUAAGAGAUGUCUCUUUCUUGACAAGUGGAAGUAUGGAAUAUGAUUUUGUAACUUCAAAUCAAAUUGCUGAUCAUCCCUGACCUGAACCUCAUGCUCCACCCAGAAGUCAUAUGAGAAAAUAAGGAGAAAUAGCCUUUAAUAUGACUAAUUAAAUCAA